GUGCCAGCCGCCGCGGUAAUACAGAGGGUGCGAGCGUUGUCCGGAAUCACUGGGCGUAAAGGGCGCGUAGGUGGCCCGCCAAGUCACUGGUGAAAGCUCGAUGCUUAACAUCGAGUCGGCCAGUGAUACUGGUGGGCUGGAGCACUGUAGAGGCUCAUGGAAUUCCGGGUGUAGCGGUGGAAUGCGUAGAGAUCCGGAAGAACACCGGUGGCGAAGGCGGUGAGCUGGGCAGUUGCUGACACUGAGGCGCGACAGCGUGGGGAGCAAACAGGAUUAGAUACCCCCGUAGUCC
rnacentral:rRNA from 1 species